GUGAAGGCAGAGUAUGUGCAUCUCAACCACCCGCUCACCCUCGUGACCAGAGAGCGCGAUUUGGCCGUGAAGGAGAAACACCAGCUCCAAGCCAAGCUGGAGAACCUAGAACAGGUCCUGAAGCAUAUGCGAGAGGCGGCUGAACGGCGGCAGCAGCUGGAGUUGGAGCAUGAGCAGGCCCUGGCUGUUCUCAGUGCCAAGCAGCAGGAAAUUGACCUUCUGCAGAAGGCUCAGGUUGAGGCUAAGAAGGAGCAUGAAGGCGCAGUGAGGCUGCUAGAGGUAAGGAGCGUGCCCCUGCUUUCUGCCCAGGGGUGGGGGACGUUGGGGAGAGUUGCACUGAUGCCUGCUAGAAAUAAUAGAUGAUGUUUAUGAAGUGUGCCUGGUGCACCAGUUACUAGAUGCUGUUCAUGUGUCUCCUCAUGUCGUCCUCACAAGCAACCAAUGCGACAGGUGCCAGGACCAGGUCCAUUCUUACAGGGAAACUGAGGCACAGGUUAAGCAGCUUUUCCUUGGCCACACAUCCAGACCCAGAACUGUGUGUCUCAGAUGUGAUCUGCUGUCCUCUGCUGGCUCCUCUUGGGUGGAAAGCGAGGGGGCGUGGCUCACUCGCUUGCUUGCGAAUUAAUUUCCCCAGGGGGAAAGGCGGGUGGACCUUCCGGAGGCCGUCCUGGUCUCUGAUGAACUGCCUUGGGGUACCUCUUUAAGGUAUGACACUCAUCCUGGGGAGGCAUUUGUAGGAUCAGAGAAAGGAGGUCCUGGGGAAUCA
rnacentral:sRNA from 1 species